rnacentral:tRNA from 1 species
GGGAAUAUAGCUCAGUGGCACAGCACCCACCUGGCAAGUGCAAGGUCCUGGGAUUGAUUCCCAGUACCUA